rnacentral:rRNA from 1 species
AUGGCCAUCAUAGCUCCAGCAGCACUGGUAGUGAUAGUAGUUGUGUCGCCGCUCGCCGCCGGUGGAGCAGCACCUCCGUCUCCGGCUAUCGGGAUGCCAGGCUGUGACACCACCUGCGGCAACAUCAGCGUGCCGUACCCGUUCGGCAUGGGGCCGGCCAGGUGCUACCACUCGCCGGGGUUCAACCUCACCUGCGACAACACCAUAACGCCGCCGCGGCUCCUGCUCGGCGGAGGCGGCAUUCUCCAAGUCGAAGGCUUCAUCCUUGAGAUGUCCAUGGUGCUCGUCAGGCGCACCCCCGGCGACAUAAGAGUGGACGCCGACGACGGCAGCGGCUCCUUGUUCGCCGCAGGCCUCGGCAACGCCGACGAAGGUGCCUACAUCAUGCUCCCGGACGUCUGGAACGAGCUCGUCCUGCUGGGAUGCAACGUCCGGGCGACUCUGCUGGUCAGCAGCGGCGGCGACAGCGGCAACGGUACCGUCGUCAGCGCCUGCUCCUCCUUGUGCGGGGAAAAAGGCCACGGGCCCUUGAGGGACGUGCCGUCCAGCCUCGAGAGCAGCAUGCUGUGCACCGGCGAAGGCUGCUGCCAGGCGCCUAUCGUCGCCGUCAAGGCAGCGGCGGUAUCAGGGUCCUCCUACUCCGUGCAGAUCGAGUGGUUCGGCCGGAACAACCGCAGCGCCGACGAGGAGCGGAUGCCCACGCGGGUGUUCGUCGCCAACAAGGGGUGGUUCGAGAACAAGAAGGUCUCCAGGCAGCUCUUGUAUCCCAAACGGUCGCCGGCGAAGGAUGUCGCCACGGGAGUACCAAUUUGGCUGAGCUGGGAGUUCGGCCAGGAUCCUUCUCGUAAUCAUCGUCAUAGCAAUAUCUCUUCUUCUUCCACCGUCAGGUGUGAUGAUGAUCUUACACAAGUCGGCUAUACGUGCUACUGCAAACAGGGCUACCAAGGCAAUCCCUACAUCCCCGACGGAUGCCAAGAUAUCAAUGAGUGUGAGCUGCCAGAAGACUACUGCCCUGGUGGCGUAUGCACAAAUACGAUUGGAAGUUUUGACUGCGGGUGUCCGCCUGGAACCCAUGGCAACAAUUCCACACCCGGUGGCUGCGUCCCUUUCAUCUCUGAAGCUGAUAGGUGCAGCCCGUCCUGCGGGGAAGUACAUGUGCACUACCCAUUCGGCGUCGGUCCAUCCCACUGCUACCGGCCAGGCUUCAACCUCACCUGCGACUAUCCCGGCAGCGGCAAGCCACCACGAUUGCUGCUCGAUAGCUACGGUGCCUUCCAAAUUCAAGAAAUCUCGAUCCAGAAUUCUACACUGCGUGUUACUAGCUCCGUCGCCACUAUCGAAGCUGAAACGAUAAAUCCUUACUCCUUCCAUUUCAAUAAUUACUUCAGUGAAGGAGGCGACGCACUCUUCUCUCUAUCCACCCGCAACGAGCUCGUCCUCUCAGGGUGCAAUGUCCAAGCAACAUUGUUGGGGCCUGGUGACGACCCGACCAUCGUUAGCGGUUGUGCCACAUUCUGUUCCGACUCUGAUAUGAACGCAGGGAGGGUGCCCAUUGCAAGCCAUGCCAGUGACAAAAAGAGUUGUUACGGCAUGGGUUGUUGCCGGGCGCCUAUAUCUACGUCAAUUGAUGGCAUGCCUGACAUGCUGAGCUUCAAAUUUGCUGACCCUAAUAGCGUCCAGAACAACUCACAACCCCCAUAUGCAUUGAUCGCCGAGGAGGGGUGGUUUGACAAUCGGCUCAUCUCCGACCAGCAGAUCCAUGCGCAUAAAAGCAAGUUGAGGUUUAAGCCUAAUGUUCCUAUCAUUCUUCAGUGGGAGGUGUUGCACCCAUCUGGCUUACCCAACGCCAACAUGAAGUCACUUCAAAAAUGUCCCACGGAGGUAGCCGCCAACAUUUGCAAGAGCACGAACAGCCACUGCAAACCAGGGAACAGAGGUUAUUCUUGCCGGUGUCGCGAGGGUUACCACGGCAAUCCCUAUGCCCCCAAGGGAUGCAAAGGUGGCCCCGUGACACUGAAAGGUAUAAGUGUCAUUAUAGGAGUUUCUUGCGGGAUGGGUCUCGUGAUUUUGGUUCUCGCAUCACUAUUUGUUUCCAAGAAAUUGAAACAUCGGAGAACCCAUAUGUUAAAACGAAAGUUCUUUGAGCAAAAUCAUGGACAACUGUUGGAACAGUUGGUAUCUCAAAGAGCUGGUAUUGCAGAACAAAUGAUCAUAACCUUGGAAGAGCUAAACAAGGCAACACACAAUUUUGAUAAAGAUCUUGUGGUUGGCGGUGGAGGGCAUGGUACUGUUUAUAAAGGGAUUUUAUCGAACCAACAUAUUGUGGCCAUCAAGAAACCAAAGAAGGUGAUUCCAAAGGAGAUUGAUGAGUUUAUAAAUGAGGUUGCCAUCCUAUCACAAAUCAACCACAAAAAUGUCGUAAAACUCUAUGGUUGCUGCCUUGAAACCGAAGUCCCCAUGUUGGUGUAUGAGUUCAUAUCCAAUGGGACUCUUUAUGAUCAUCUUCAUGUUGAAGGGCCAAUAUCAUUGUCGUGGAAUAAUAGGCUGCGGAUAGCCACAGAAACGGCCAAGUCGCUCGCCUAUCUUCACUCAACUGCGGCAAUACCUAUCAUCCACAGAGAUGUCAAGUCUGCUAACAUACUUCUGGAUGAUACUCUCGUAGCAAAGGUAGCCGACUUUGGAGCUUCAAGGUACAUUCCGAUGGAGAAAUCCGGGUUAACAACAAGAGCUCAAGGUACAAGAGGAUACUGGGAUCCUAUGUACUUUUACACUGGACGGCUCACGGAGAAAAGUGAUGUUUACAGUUUUGGGGUUGUCCUUGUGGAGCUGCUAACCAGGAAGAAACCAUUUUCGUAUCUGUCCUCAGAUGACGAGAGUCUUAUAGUACAUUUUGUUACCUUGUUUUUAGAAGGAAAUUUGCUCCAGAUAUUAGAUCCACAAGUUAUCCAGGAAGGUGGCAAAGAAGUCCAAGAAGUCGCCGCUAUUGCAACAUCAUGUGUGAAAUUAAGUGGAGAGGGUCGCCCAACCAUGAGGCAAGUGGAGUUGACGCUAGAAGGCCUCCGUGCAUCCGAGGAGCAUGUUUUAGAUAAGGUAGUGGCUAAAAAGGUUUACAAUAACAAUAUCAAGGUAGGCGUUCAAUCUAAUACAUUAGUUAGAAAAGGUAAUGAGGGGUCGACCAGACGGUAUAGUAUGGAAGAAGAGUUCAUACUAUCUGCAAGUUAUCCUUGGUAG